rnacentral:pre_miRNA from 1 species
GGCCCAAAUCUGAAGUAAGGUAGAUUAGUAAGGUCAGCUGGUCCUACUAUUUUACUGUACUUCGGAAUGGAGCCC